ACGAACGCUGGCGGCGUGCUUAACACAUGCAAGUCGAACGAUGAAGCCCUUCGGGGUGGAUUAGUGGCGAACGGGUGAGUAACACGUGGGCAAUCUGCCCUUCACUCUGGGACAAGCCCUGGAAACGGGGUCUAAUACCGGAUAACACUCCUGCCUGCAUGGGCGGGGGUUAAAAGCUCCGGCGGUGAAGGAUGAGCCCGCGGCCUAUCAGCUUGUUGGUGGGGUAAUGGCCUACCAAGGCGACGACGGGUAGCCG
rnacentral:rRNA from 3 species